AAGCCCCUGUCUGCAGCCUGCAGAUUUGGGCGGGUAUGCACCUAGGACGGUGCUGCACGUGCAGGCCCGCCCACACUGCUUCUCAUUGGUUAGUGGCGUGAAGUCAUGACGUCGAUUAUAGCAAGUUUUCAUUUCCGAUGUUUAUCGCUGCAUGGAAACCAUUUCAGUAUUCACUGAGCUUUCUGACAGUAGGGACCUUUGAUUUUACAGAGGUCAGAGAUGCUGAAAGAGCAACUCCAGUAAAAGAGGAGCGUAAAGAAGCAGGUGUUGGUUCCCAUUUCAAAUCUUGAACCUAAAUAACAGGGGUUUGAAAAUGAUGCUACUCUUGUUCUUACUCUCCAAUUUAGAGGUGAUGAAAUCCCCCGGCCUGUGGAUUAUUCGACCAAGAUGCCACCUGACCUUACAUCCUCGGGCAGAUCCUGAUGGGAGUCGUUACAAAGAGGACGAUAUGGCUUUAUGGUGACUUUCCCUGACAUGCAAGGUUUUCAGAGACGUUUUCAGCAAGCCCAAGUUCUGAGAAAAGGUCCCCUUUGUAUGUCCAAACAGUGUUGUGAACUGGAGUGCAUUUUCCAGACAAUAUGGGCAAGAGCUCCGGGUGCCCUACUCGUUGACUUUGAAAUAUACAAGGACUGCCCACCUGGAUAUGUAGGUGAUGGCAGAAGGGGAGUCCUGAAUGGGUUUUAUUCCGACAAGGAGGUUCAGGGCUAUUGCUCAUUUGAUUGUUUUUUCAAUGAUGGAGGGCAACUUCAGGCUGUGUAGAUUGUGUGUGUACGGUUAAUGUACGUGAUUAUCUGUAUGUGUAUAUUAUGUCUUUUAAACAAUUAUUUUUGUUUUGAAAUAAAAGUUAUCACUGGUAUGGGUUUGGUGUUUUUGAGUGGCAUGCAUACUAUGGGAUACAGAGAUUGACAACGUACUGUAUGUAGUUUAACUUCUUUAUAGGCAUAAAUGUUUAGUAAUAGCCUAUAUUAAGCACAAAAAUAAACAAGAACUAUUAGAGGAGUGAUUAAAAUACGAAAUAUAUAAGGUGCCAUUAAUGUUUACGGUAAUUUUGUAAUUACACAAUGAAGUGCAACAUAAUCUGAAAAACUUUUAAAAUCUACACAGAUAUUACACAAUACUCUGAAAUUCUUUAAAAGUUCACAUUAGAUCAGGCAUAAUUGAAACUAUAUGCUCUACUCCAUUAUUACUUUAUACUUUUCUUUAAUAAUAAAUCGUUUUAUUAAAGUAUUAUUUCAUAACGUCAGCGCGAUGUAGCGCACAUUUUAAAGAUCGCACCGUUUUCAACCGCAUUUCCUGUUUACCGUGGCGUCGACGUCAUUACUGUGCUACUAACCAAUGAUACGCGUUAUGGGAGGGGCUGCCUGU